rnacentral:lncRNA from 1 species
AUUUCUUGGGCCGUUCCCGGGGUGUAUGGAGGUUCCCAGGCUAGGGGUCUAAUCGGAGCUGUAGCCGCCAGCCUACAUCAGAGCACAGCAACACGGGAUCCGAGCCGCAUCUGCGACCUACACCACAGUUCAGGACAACGCCAGGUCGUUAACCCACUGAGCAAGGGCAGGGAUCGAACCCGCAACCUCAUGGUUCCUAGUCGGAUUCGUUAACCACUGUGCCACGACGGGAACUCCCAAGUGUCUUUUUCAAGGAAAGUUUUGUCUGGAUGGAUGCCCAAGAGUGGGCUGCUGAGUCAUAUGGUAGUUCUAUGUAUAGUUUCCUAAGGUACCUCCAUACUGUUUUCCAUAGUGGUUGGGACUAUAUCCAAUACCCUGUAACAACCUAUCAUGGAAAAGAAUCCGAAAAGAAAAAAUAUUAUAUAUAACUGAAUCACUUUGCUGUACACCUGAAACUAACACAGCAUUGUAAAUCAACUAUGCUUCAAUUAAUAAGAAGAAAAAAUAAAACACUGAGUAACAUUACCCAAGUGAAGAAAGAGAACACUGACAGUCUGUGAAAAACUAAUUUGUGCCCCGCUCCAUACACAUACCUACUUGGUAUAUACCAUAAUAACUAAGCAUUAACAUGGGAUUUUGACCACUAUUCCAACUCUUUUCUUUACAGAAUAUAAUUAAAAAUAUUAUAUCAAAAAGUAUUUAUAUUUUCUAGUUUUUGAAAUCAUAGAAAAAAAUGCUACUCAAUGGAUCUUUCUCUGACUUGCUUCUUUCACUCAAUGUUAUGUUUCUGAGAUUGAACCAUGUUGAUGGUGUACCUCUAGUUCAAUCAUUCUUUACUACAAUAUAAUAUUCCAUUGUGUGAAUAUAAAGCUGUAUUUUAUUUGUUGUACUGCUGAUGGACAUUGGGACUCUUUGUUGAUUUCUGCUAUCAUGCAUUGCUGUAAAAGUUUCCUUAUACACAUGGGCAAGAGCUUGUCUAGAGUAUGUAGCUAAGAAAAGAACCACUGGAUUAGAGUUACACAAACCUUUAGAAUUCAUUUAACUUAGUAAUUUGUGAAUUAUCUCACAUGCCAUACUAUGCAGCUACUGCAGUAUUAUAUAGGUUUUGUUAUUUUCUACACUUUUCUCAAUAUAGCCGGUUAUUAUCUAAAUGGUAAACUUUUUAAAAAUUUUACUUACUUCCUUAAUAUAUACAUUCAUCAUCAAAUAUUUGAGGCAAUCAUUCCACUACAUGUUAGGUACUACACUAAAUAAUAAAACAGUCUUAAUUUCUGUGUAAGUUCCUGGGCCCGGGAUCAAACCCAAGCUACAGCAUUGACAAUGCUGGAUCCUUGACCCACUAGGCCACCAGGAAACUCCGUUAAUGUCUUAUAUUCUUAUUCCAAAAGUUAGAGUCUGAAUGCUUGCUAGAUGCUCAACACCCCAACCCACUCAUGGGUCUUCAGAAGGUAAAGUUCUUUCUGAUACUAAGAACCAGCAUGAGAGUAUGAGUAUAAAAAUACCUGCAAAUUGCCAAUAUGUGGUAUGUAGUAAAUUUCUAAUAAAACUGUCCUAAAAUCAUUACUUUUUAAUGCCUCACUUCUCAUGUAAUAGCAAUAUCUUAAAACAUUAAAACAUUUUCUUAAAAGCAAAGUCAGAAGUUCCUGUUGUGGUUCAGCAGUAACAAACCUGACUAGCAUCCAUAAGGAUGCGGGUUCUAUCCCUGGCCCCAUUCAGUGAGCUAAGGAACCAGCAUCGCCCUGAGCUGUGGUGUACAUUGCAGACACAACUGGGACCACGCAUUCCUGUGGCUGCGGCUCCAAUUUGACCCUAGGCUGGGAAGUUCCAUAUGCUGUGGAGGCGGCCCUAAAAAAAAAAUGAAAAAUGAAAAGUGAAAGUAAAGUCAGUUAACAGUUUGGGAAAGAACAUACAGAUUUAAAAUAUUUAACUGUGAUUUUUGUCUCUCUUUCAAAAUAAAUAAUUGAUUUCUCUCCCACCCUUUCGUGAUGACCCUCAGGCCUAGAAACAGCUUUACAUGACGGAGUCUGAACAAGAGACUCUAAUACUGCCAAGAACUAAAAUAAACAAGAACACAGUUUGAUCAGUGUCAGAGUGUUUCACAGCACUUAGCCAAUCAUUAUCACUUCCCAUCUACUCUUUUCUCUUCACAUUCUUUUACCUUCCAAUAAAUAGGAACUGCAAUAAUGGAAACAUUGUCUGGCCUGCACCUCAAGGAUAUUAUUAAGCUUCAAACCAUGGCUGUAAUUCAGGUGUCCCAGAGAGAAGAUAUUUAAGGCUGACACACCCUAACAAAUAAAAGCUGCUUAAUGACAAUGCAUGAAAGCCUGUGGGGGAGGAAUUUUUUUCACUCACUUCCUGGUUCAGAGGUAUAAGAGAGGAUUAUAAAAGAAUCACCCGAAUCACUUUGAGAAAACUUGGCCAUAAGAUGAGCAGAUGAUGUAAUUUAUAAGUGUACCUUAAGUUCUUUAAAAGAUGUUGUUUUCAUAACCUUACUUAAAUAUAAAGUAUGUUUUCAAAAUCAUGCUUACUGAUACCCAAUAAAGCUCAGGAUUUGCAUGCAGGGAUCUUUGUGCGUGCUCUGCUUACCUAAACUGUUCACGUGAACUCUAUGUUAAAAGUGCAAGGGUACAGUUCCACUGGGUUCACUAACAUAGACAAAUACUUACACCUGUCGAUUGAUGGUGUGUAUUCAGCACUUACUAAGUGUGAAGUGAUAAACAGAGUGCAAUGGGGAAACACAGACUACUGAGGAUGUGAUUCUGGGAAAACACAACAGCAUGAGCAAAAUCCAGGAAGAGUAGAAGCAAAGGGUAUUUAUAGCCAACAUAGUAAAAAUAGUUGCAUGUCAAUUAUAUCGCAAUAAAAAUAGUAAUAAUAAUAAAAGUCUAACCGUUUAGGAAUUCAUUUCUGUGAACUAUAGUUAAUAGUUUCAUGUAUGAUAAAUUCAUGCAGAAAUAAAGGGAAUCAUCCCUGGCAGGUGGAACUUGCUAAGUUUUUCCACCAAUGAUAGACAGUUUGUAAACUCCGUUCUGUAACUGCUUUUCUAAAUGAUUUAUUCAUCCCCUUGCGUAUGACAGUAUAACAUCCUUACCAAUUUAUAAUUUUGAAAUAUUUUCCUAUUAUUUUAAAUAGAUUUUAAACCUUAAGGAAGGUAAUAUUUCAGAUAAAUAUAUGUGUCCUCUGUGUUCAGUCAUUCCACUCCUGGGAAUAGACUCAACAGAAGUGAGGGUUCAGAGCCAACCCAAGGCAUGUAAAAUAUGUUUAAGGCAGCUUUAUUUGCAGUAGCCCGUAACUGGAAACAACUCAAAUAUUCAUCAACAGUAGAACUGGUAAACUGUUGUAUAUCCAGCCAAUGGUAUACUACAGAAUAAUGAAAAAGAACAAGCAAGUAACAUACACAGCAACACAGUGAAAGAGGCAAAUUUAAUCUAUGCCUGAGUGGAAGCCCAAUGGUAUUUUUUAACGAACUGGAAAAACUCUAUUUUAGGUGUCAAUAGUUACAUUUUACAUUGUAUAAACUGUGUAUACUUUAAGAUUGGCUACAACACAAUAAAAAAAAAUCUCCAAUUAAAAGCAAAAGCAAUACAACAAAAAUGUGUCAAAAGUAGAAAAAAUGCUGACUCAUUGACUUAAUAAAUUAAUUUAAUAGUAAGGAAAUAAAUCAAUUUUUUAAAAAA